ensembl:lncRNA
AUGUAUGAAUUUUUGAAAUGUGCGGCAUUAACCAAUCAAAACGUAGAGAACUGUUCCACUAUUGUAAUCUCAGAGGCCAGUAAGGCUGUGUACGCCCCAAUAGACCUGCCCCCACUUAAUUUGCACAGACUCGUCACUAUAGUAACUGAGAGACAGAUUUUGCUUGGCAUCCGAGGCAGUUCCUCAAGGGAUGAGGCAGCCACCACAACCCCCCUCACCACUCCUCCAUCAGCCUCACAACUUCUCAUCACCAACCCCCUUUAUCCUUAAACCAACCCCCAUGCAUCAACAGACAUCCACCCCCUCUGAUUCCUCCCCAUUUAAAUGUAACGGACUUCAGGUCCUGGUACCACGAUAGAGUGAUUUAAUGUGACAGACCGAGGUGAGCACAUGUGCUGCAUUUACAAUACGUGACUCAGGGCACACUCGUUGAUCAUAUCAUAAAUGGUGUGGUUUAGAACCACAGAGUUUUUGAGAAUUAUGACAUGGUUUCCCAUAAGGCAUCAUGCAUUAUCUAAAUGCCACUUGUUAGCACUAUUAUUAUUUCAUCUAUGGAGACAAGCACACGCUUGUCGACCUUUCAUGUUUUAAUCUGGGACUAGUCUGCAACAAAAAGCCUGGUUUGCAAACUCGUAACACAUUUGCGCACUUGUGACAUGCUAUGAUAAAGUUUAUUGGUUUGAAAUCUGGCCGACCAAAUGUCAGGUGUACAUACUGUUCUCACUAGAAAGAGAGCAGCUGGGAGGAACAGCCCAUGAAAUUGUGAGGAUAAAAGAGGACGGCAAGAAAUCCAGAAGUUACCCAUGUUGACCCAAGCACCAUCUGAUUCAUAGCCUGACCCAUGUUUGGGCUCUGUAAGAUUUUUAGACUUUUAUUCAGCAAGGAUGCAUUAAAUUGGUCAAAAGUGACAGUAAAGAUUUUAUGAUGUUACAAAAGAUUUCUAUUUCAAACAUAUGCUGUUCUUUUGAACUUUUUUAUUCAUCAGCAUUGAUAUGUAAUGUCAAAUGAUCUCAUUAGAAUGGUUUCUGAAGAAUCAUGUGACACUGAAGAAUGGACUAAUGGCCGCUAAAAAUCCAUCUUUUCUGAAUAAAUUUUUAAUCAAAUAAUGCUGCCUUAGUGAG